UUUCAAUUCAGAAAACUACUUCCAUGAAAUUCAUAACAGCAACUGAUAUUAUUAUUUUAUGGAUGCAUGAAUUGGAUAAGCAUUUUCUUAAAUUAAAGUAGCAGUUCCCUGAUAUGCUCAGCAAGUACUUUCAAUGUUUGACCCCCAAGAAUGACAUCACCAGAAAUUCAUACAUGAAGCAAUAGUGGGUUUGACAAAGGAGAAAGAAUCAAUUGAAUGUUCAAUUCAUUAGAUGCAAUGCUUCAGAAAAUGGUCUCGGUCAAAACUCCAAGAGUGUAGCAGCAAGUAGUACAAGUAACAAAUACUCCUCUAGAUGAGUGAAGUUAUUGAAGCUGACCAAAGAAAGCCAUCACAGUUCAUUGAACUUCAAUCAAACACCUUUUGCUACAUCCCAACAGUUUAUUUGACAUGGGGAUUCCAAAACUCUUAAAUGAGCAACUUUGAAUUUUUAACUAUUGCAAGAAUUUUAUGCACACAAAAUAAAUGUUCUAAGAAAUUGAAGCCUCAAUAUCUGAAUAAAAACUGUAAGACGUCAUUCACCUCUAUUAACAAAUGAAGAAUGUUACAUCCAGGCUCCAGCACACUGCAAGUUGUAGUCCCCAUUUUUUUUAUUUUAACACAACUUUAGAAGAAAUGACAUGUAACAGGAAAAUUUGGGGUUGGGGGUGGGGUGGGAACUGUAAACAUCUCAUAUAAUUGCUGGAUUUUCAUGCAUAAUUUUACAGAUAACUUACAUUGGGCAGUAGUUUUGACUCCAUGUUCUUAUUGAUCCCAGUAAUUCCUUAGCUGUGACAUAUGUAGGAGAAGCUCAUCUCUGCCCAAUCCAGUGACACUACUAGUCAUGAUCCAUGGUGGAUGUUCCCUGUAGUUUUGUCUGAUCAGCUCCUGGAAAUUCCUAAUGUUCUCAUCCGGCCUUGUUCUUUUUCCCCCUUUCAUUUUGUCACAUUUUGUGAAAACAAAAGUCAAAGGUAUCUGAAACAUAUGGUGUAAAGUGAAAAAAAGAAGAAGAAAACACUGGAUUUAUCUUUGUGCCACUGAACUGGCUACACAGAUUAAACAGCAAACUGAAAGGAAUUUUUGAAUUUGAGCAAAACUUACAUUAUUGCGUCCGAGCCAAUUAGCACAAUCUAGGUCAAUCUUUUGAGGGGGAACACUUGCAUCAAUAAGAAGUAGGACAGCAACUAGAGUUUCUCUGUUCAAAAAAUAUCCUUUAGUGAAUGAGGACCAAUCCGUUCGAGCAGAAUCUGGGGCUUUAGCAAACCUGCAAACAGGAUAUUUAUUAAACCCUAUAGACUACAUACACAGCGUCAUGAUUAUUAAUUUCAACUAGAUGAAGCUGGAGAAAACAAACACAAUCGUUUUAUACAAUCCAUGAGAACAUUAGUCAUUACAAACAAUUAAAUUGACAGGACUAUUAGUCAUUACAAACAAUUAAAUUGACAGGACUUGGCUUUCAUUGACUGAAGCAUCCAGUUAACACUCAAAUUCUAAGAGAAUAACAAUGACACUUAACUUCCAAAGUGCAAUUGCCAUUGGGAAUUUUGUCAGAGUGCCUAAAAGCAUUAAAACCACUGUUCAGCUUGGCAGACUAAAGCCACAAGGACAAUCAUGUUGGAAUUCGAGAAGGCUUAACCCCACUUCCUUUACCUACACGCAUUUCGCCUAAUACCUGUGGUUCAAUUCAGGCAGCAUAAUGCAAGCAAAACCCAAAUGUUCAAAUAAAUAAUAAACAAGUAAAACAAUAUAAAAGAGUUCCAUAAUUAUGUUUGAGAUGGAAAGAAAAAGUAAAAGGAGUAUGCACCCGCCGCUGAAUGAUUCUAAAAGAAACAAGAGUAAGAGGUUUUGCUAAGUCUGGACAUAAAUAGAAAGACCACUAUAUGCAAAAUAUGAACAAUUAAUUUUGCAUGAGAUUCAUCUUCAGUUUUGAAUUUAACUACAAAGUUAUAAAUAUCAGAUCAUAAUUUAGAAAUUAUUACAACAGGAGAAACAGAAUGAAAAAAUCCUGCACAUAAAUUACAAGUUUAGUGGAAAACAUAGAAGCUUUCAGUUGCACAAUCACUUAAAAAUGAAAAAUAGCUAAUUCACAUCACAAAACAAUCAAUAUAAGAUGGCAUAGACCAGAAUAAUAGAAUUGUCAAUUGAGAUGAUCGCCACAAUGGAACUACUCACAUCACAAAGAAACAUAAGCAAUGUCAACAAAUCAGGACGGAAAAAAUAAAAGCAUAUGGAGUGCUUAAUCAGAUGCAAGAGUUAUUCAUACUAAGUCUCACAUAAUCUUCCACUUAUUCUCAGCUCUGUAGAAACAUACUUAAGAUAAAUUCAAGUCUACUUCUCAAAUCUCAAUCAAGCAGACACCCCAAUUGGGCACAUUCAUUCAAAAAGCUCAGAAAAAUUUGUGCACAAACUAUUGACAUUUCAAGCAUAUGAAAUACUUCAAAAACACCAAACCAGGGAAUGAGGGAAGUAAAGGAGAGAGUUCACAAACAUACUGUAAUAUCAAUGUAUGAGUAUGACUGCUACGGUUAAAUACUACAGAUUAAUCAACCAUAGCUCAAAUAGCUAGAAAACAUCAAACACUAACUAAAGUAUCACAUGUAUAUUUAGUUUGUAAUAUGAAAGGGGGAAACUAUGUCUUGCUUACCCAUAACCAGGCAAAUCCACAAUAUACCAACUUCUAUUCACCCGGAAAUGAUUAAUCAACUGGGUCUUCCCUGGUUUUUUCGAUGUUAGAGCAAAUUCCUUCUUUCUAACCAGAACAUUAAUAAGUGAAGACUUGCCCACAUUCGACCGACCAAGAAUGGCAAACUCGGGCAGGUCAUCUCUGGGGCAAUCUCUGGCCUGACUGCUGCUCUUAACGAAUUCCACUUCCUUAAUCUGUGAAUGACCCGCAUAGGGUCCUAGAACGAUGUUGGAACCUGGCAAAACCAUAUCCUCUGUCACCUCAUCGGGGUCGACCCCUGGUGGGACGAAGAGCACGGUCCGGGCGAAUCGAGCUGCGUCAGAGGUUGACGGUUUGGCAGCCUUUGAAGCAGAGACAUGAGGUGUUGGGAUGGGGUUAGGAGAUUUGAGGGUAGAGUAAUUGAAAGAGAAGGUAGGUGGGAGAGGUUUUCUAGAAGGUAAAGGAGAAGAUGGAAGUGAUAAAAUGAUGAAUAGGCGGUUUCGAAGUAGCAUUCUGCUCGAGUGUGUCAAUGGCAGAGCUCAAUCUCGCAAGCAGUCGCAGUUUUUUUACCCUGCUCGGACG
rnacentral:misc_RNA from 1 species